rnacentral:rRNA from 1 species
UACGUAGGGGGCAAGCGUUGUUCGGAAUUACUGGGCGUAAAGGGCGCGUAGGCGGUACGACAAGUCGGGCGUGAAAGCCCGGGGCUCAACCCCGGGACUGCUUUCGAAACUGUCGAACUUGAGUGCAGAAGAGGCAACUGGAAUUCCCAGUGUAGCGGUGAAAUGCGUAGAUAUUGGGAAGAACACCUGAGGCGAAGGCGGGUUGCUGGGCUGACACUGACGCUGAGGCGCGAAAGCCAGGGGAGCGAACGGG